ACUUUCAAAGGACUGGUCAGUCCG
rnacentral:siRNA from 1 species